rnacentral:rRNA from 1 species
GACGAACCGUGCGAACGUUGUUCGGAUUCACUGGGCUUAAAGGGCGCGUAGGCGGACUCGCCAGUCUGUGGUGAAAGCCCCCAGCUCAACUGGGGAAGUGCCGUGGAUACUGCGAGUCUGGAGGAGGGUAGGGGCAUCUGGAACGCUGGGUGGAGCGGUGAAAUGCGUUGAUAUCCAGCGGAACUCCGGUGGCGAAGGCGGGUCUCUGGGCAAUUCCUGACGCUGAGGCGCGAAAGCGUGGAGAGCAAACGGG